rnacentral:rRNA from 1 species
GCCUNCCNGGCGGUGACGGNNNGCCGGCCUGAGAGGGCGACCGGCCACACUGGGACUGAGACACGGCCCAGACUCCUACGGGAGGCAGCAGUGGGGAAUAUUGCACAAUGGGCGCAAGCCUGAUGCAGCGACGCCGCGUGAGGGAUGACGGCCUUCGGGUUGUAAACCUCUUUCGCCAGGGACGAAGCGGAAGUGACGGUACCUGGAGAAGAAGCACCGGCUAACUACGUGCCAGCAGCCGCGGUAAUACGUAGGGUGCGAGCGUUGUCCGGAAUUAUUGGGCGUAAAGAGCUCGUAGGCGGUGUGUCGCGUCUGCCGUGAAAACCUCAGGCUUAACUUGGGGCGUGCGGUGGAUACGGGCAUCACUUGAGUUCGGUAGGGGAGACUGGAAUUCCUGGUGUAGCGGUGGAAUGCGCAGAUAUCAGGAGGAACACCGGUGGCGAAGGCGGGUCUCUGGGCCGAUACUGACGCUGAGGAGCGAAAGCGUGGGGAGCGAACAGGAUUAGAUACCCUGGUAGUCCACGCUGUAAACGUUGGGCGCUAGGUGUGGGGUGCUGUUCACGUGUCCCGUGCCGUAGCUAACGCAUUAAGCGCCCCGCCUGGGGAGUACGGA